ACUCCUACGGGAGGCAGCAGUGGGGAAUCUUGGACAAUGGGGCGAACCCUGAUCCAGCCAUGCCGCGUGAGUGAUGAAGGCCUUAAGGUCGUAAAGCUCUUUCGCCUGUGAUGAUAAUGACAGUAGCAGGUAAAGAAACCCCGGCUAACUCCGUGCCAGCAGCCGCGGUAAUACGGAGGGGUUAGCGUUGUUCGGAAUUACUGGGGCGUAAAGCGCGCGUAGGCGGAUUAGUCAGUUAGAGGUGAAAUCCCAGGGCUCAACCCUGGAACUGCCUUUAAUACUGCUAGUCUUGAGUUCGAGAGAGGUGAGUGGAAUUCCGAGUGUAGAGGUGAAAUUCGUAGAUAUUCGGAGGAACACCAGUGGCGAAGGCGGCUCACUGGCUCGAUACUGACGCUGAGGUGCGAAAGUGUGGGGAGCAAACAGGAUUAGAUACCCUGGUAGGAUAGCG
rnacentral:rRNA from 1 species